GUGGGGAAUUUUGGACAAUGGGCGCAAGCCUGAUCCAGCAAUGCCACGUGCAGGAAGAAGGCCUUCGGGUUGUAAACUGCUUUUGUACGGAACGAAACGGUCCUGGUUAAUACCCGGGGCUAAUGACGGUACCGUAAGAAUAAGCACCGGCUAACUACGUGCCAGCAGCCGCGGUAAUACGUAGGGUGCAAGCGUUAAUCGGAAUUACUGGGCGUAAAGCGUGCGCAGGCGGUGCUGUAAGACAGGCGUGAAAUCCCCGGGCUUAACCUGGGAAUUGCGCUUGGGACUGCAGUGCUGGAGUGCGGCAGAGGGGGAUGGAAUUCCGCGUGUAGCAGUGAAAUGCGUAGAUAUGCGGAGGAACACCGAUGGCGAAGGCAAUCCCCUGGGCCUGCACUGACGCUCAUGCACGAAAGCGUGGGGAGCAAACAGGAUUAGAAACCCGGGUAGUCC
rnacentral:rRNA from 1 species